GAGAAAUGGCUUGGCAUUGCCUCGAGGCUUUGUUUAUCUGCUCUGAUCCGGCACUUUGCACUACAGGAGUAGGGGGGACAGCAAAACCCAGAUUGAAUUUCCGGAAGCCUUCCCAAACGUCGCAUAAGGCAUUAAUAGGGGGUCUUGUGGCAAAAUGAUCUCUUGACUUUUUGCAGUAGACCAUCAAGCAAAUACACACGUAACAUCUGAAGGACUCCAAUCUUAAUAUUGUGGCAGCAUCAAGUUCCUUCCAUCUCAGGCCCUUGCUCUUUGCAUCCCCACCAAAUGGCUCUGCUAAAGAAAGACUCAGGCUUUUGCUGAACUACUCCUGAAGAAAAGCAUCUUGA